rnacentral:rRNA from 1 species
GACGAACGCUGGCGGCGUGCUUAACACAUGCAAGUCGAACGAAGAGCGAUGGAAGCUUGCUUCUAUCAAUCUUAGUGGCGAACGGGUGAGUAACGCGUAAUCAACCUGUCCUUCAGAGGGGGACAACAGUUGGAAACGACUGCUAAUACCGCAUACGAUCUAAUCUCGGCAUCGAGGAUAGAUGAAAGGUGGCCUCUACAUGUAAGCUAUCACUGAAGGAGGGGAUUGCGUCUGAUUAGCUAGAUGGGGGGGUAACGGACUACCAAGGCGAUGAUCAGUAGCCGGUCUGGGAGGAUGGACGGCCACAUUUGGGCUGGGACACGGCCCAGAAUCCUACGGGAGGCAGCAGUGGGGAAUCUUCCGCAAUGGACGAAAGUCUGACGGGGCAACGCCGCGUGAGUGAUGACGGCUUUCGGGUUGUAAAGCUCUGUUAAUCGGGACGAAAGGCCUUCUUGCGAAUAGGGAGAAGGAUUGACGGUACCGGAAUAGAAAGCCACGGCUAACUACGUG